UAAUUGAUCCGAGAUCAGAGACGACCAAUGAUUCACGGACCAGCAAGGGUUCAGGUUCAGAUAAAAAAAAUCGGCAGCUGCCAGCAGGAAGUGGAGACCCGAGCUGCACUGUGGCCAAAGAUAAAAGAAGCUAGAGAUGCGGGGAAGCGUGCGUACUUCAGAGGAGGUGUUGGAUAUAUAAAUGGACAAAGAGUUACUUAGGAACACAUAAGUAGUUGCCAGAUGCUGUCCUGUCGGACAUUAUUCUUCACGUGGUCCUGGAGGAGGGUGAUGCUGCAUUAUUAAAUCUGUCUUUGGUUUGUUCCAAAUUCAGAAGUCUGGUGUAUACAGACUCAAUUUGAAAGAGGGCACACUUCUGCUGACUUGACAGUGUAACAAAAUGGAGAACAAGUCUGAGCCAUGCCAAGAAUUCUUAAAAAUGUACACACUGCAGCCCUGCGAUGAGGUUUACAAGAACUGCUUACCAGCCACCAGAUCCAGUCUGUAUGCAGAUCAGAGGGUCACUGCAGUCACCCGGAUCCAGUAU